CCUACGGGGGGCUGCAGUGGGGAAUAUUGCGCAAUGGGCGAAAGCCUGACGCAGCGACGCCGCGUGGGUGAUGAAGGCCUUCGGGUUGUAAAGCCCUGUCGGGUGGAACGAACGAUCUGGCGGCGAAUAACCGCCGGGUGUGACGGUACCACCGAAGGAAGCCCCGGCUAACUACGUGCCAGCAGCCGCGGUAAGACGUAGGGGGCGAGCGGUGUUCGGAUUUACGGGGGGUAAUAGGCACGUAGGCGGCGAAAGCCCUCGGCUUAGCCGAGGGCCAGCAGCCGAUACUGUCUGGCUCGAGUCUAGGAGAGGAAAGCGGAAUUCCCAGUGUAGCGGUGAAAUGCGUAGAUAUUGGGAGGAACACCGGUGGCGAAGGCGGCUUUCCGGACUAGUACUGACGCUGAGGCGCGAAAGCUAGGGGAGCGAACGGGAUUAGAUACCCCUGUAGUC
rnacentral:rRNA from 1 species